UAACCUUAUCAACUAUCUAAGGUAGACACAUCAAUGAAACCAUCCUCUCUCUCAUCAACUAUCGCAUUUCUCUUGUUCGCACUAAUUUCAGCCGCUUCUUGCCGUUUUCUUCGUCGGAGACCAGUGGCCGGUGGCUUCCGUAGCAUUGGAACUGGUCUCUUUGUCCUUGUAGUUUAUGCUUUGUUUUGUAGUAGUAGAGAUCUCGUCCUUGAUUCAGUUAGUUUUGGAUAGAUGUGAGUAAGUGCUUGGUUGAUUCUGCAGAUCUAUUGGCCCUCGUUUGGAGAAUUUUUCGGUUUGUUUCAAGGGAUGACUUUUGUUUCGUUGAGGUUGCGGUAAGAGCGGUUAGAUCUGUUGAUCUUUUUCCGUUUAAGUGGUUAGCGUGGUAUCUUUGCCGUUGUUGGUUUAUGGUGGUGGGUUCUCGUUGAGUUGGUGCCCGAACCUUGCCUUUCCCUCCGUCUCUUGUCUCCUUGCUUCAGCCAUCAAUUCCCAUUUGGAUUGCCC
rnacentral:sRNA from 1 species